rnacentral:rRNA from 1 species
AUACGGAGGGUGCAAGCGUUGUUCGGAAUCACUGGGCGUAAAGGGCGCGCAGGCGGUUUGGUAAGUCAGAUGUGAAAGCCCACGGCUCAACCGUGGAAGUGCAUUUGAAACUGUCAGACUUGAGUAUCAGAGGGGAAAGUGGAAUUCCCGGUGUAGAGGUGAAAUUCGUAGAUAUCGGGAGGAAUACCGGUGGCGAAGGCGACUUUCUGGCUGAAUACUGACGCUGAGGCGCGAAAGCGUGGGGAGCAAACAGGAUUAGAAACCCCAGUAGUCC